AGGAGUCACAGUCUGUACUUUCAUGCACAUGUCCUCGAAAUGGUAAAGAAGGAGAACUUCAAGAGCAUCCUAAAUGAUGAUCCUGGGUCUUCAACAGGGCAAGAUGCAAGUUACAGUGUGGUGUGAGGUCUGUGCAUGGCGCAUGUGUCUCAAUGAUUCCUCAGCAACAUCAGACCUUCUUGAAGGAGAGCACAUGGCGAGAUUUCAUAGGCUCAACUACACUACCGAGCAGCUGAUAAUUUCUUUAUUCACAGAGGCAAAAUCCCAUUUCCAAGACUGAAGGACAACACAGGCUGUCAGAGAAUCUUACAAUGGAAUGUAAUAUAAAGAACAGUGAAGAAGCCUAGCAUAAAAAAGGGAAGUGAACAAAUAUGGCUGCCAGGGAGUAAAAAACAUGAGAGAAGUUUGCUGUGUAAAGAAAACAAAGAAACAUGGAAUACUUUGACACUUCUGAGAAACAGUGAGACAAUAACUUUCAUUUGGAGACAGAAAUGUAG
rnacentral:lncRNA from 1 species